rnacentral:rRNA from 1 species
UACGUAGGGUGCGAGCGUUGUCCGGAUUUAUUGGGCGUAAAGAGCUCGUAGGUGGCCUGUCGCGUCGGCUGUGAAAACUCGGGGCUCAACUCCGAGCUUGCAGUCGAUACGGGCAGGCUAGAGUUCGGCAGGGGAGACUGGAAUUCCUGGUGUAGCGGUGAAAUGCGCAGAUAUCAGGAGGAACACCAAUGGCGAAGGCAGCUCGCUGGGACGUGACUGACGCUGAGACGCGAAAGCGUGGGGAGCAAACAGG